rnacentral:lncRNA from 1 species
CUCCGCUUCCAUCCAGCAGGGAGGGGCAGAAACGCGAAGGUGAACUCUAAGGAAGUUUUCUACCAAAACGAAUUACUGCUAUCUGUCUCCUUCCAGCUGUAGGAAUGUCAAACUCCCGGGGCUGGACCGAGAGUCUCUUGCUUUGUUUGGAGAUUUUGCCUGUUUUUUUUGUUUGUUUGUUUGUUUUUGAUUUCCAAGUCCUUAUAACAAGCCAAGCAAGCUCUCUCCCUCUAGCUACACCCGGAACCCAGAAGUGUUUAAGCAAGCAUUUUGUAUGACUCUGACGCAUAUCCCGUCUGUUCACAACUAUUUGUAACUCCAGUUCCAAGGGAUCCAACACCCUCUUCUGAUCGGAGGGCACCAGCACUAGGGAGGCAGAGGCAGGCGGAUCUCUGUGAGUUUGAGGUCUACAAAGCUACACAGAGAAACCCUGUCUUGAAAAAAACUGCUUUUCAUAAUAAAGAGACAUGCCAACUCCUGGAAGCACCUCUAUUUCCUCCAAAGGACACAAAGAUGGAUGGGCACAGAAGGACCUUCACCCUUGUUUCUUAAGUGGCAGUGCUAGCCACUGAGCAAACCUGCUUUUCACCUCAACUUCUGCACAGACCCCUCCAGACCAUGAACAACAGGACACCGGGGAAUCUACUGCCUUGAGUUGCCUAGGGCAAAGGAGGUUGGUCUUCCUACAAACUCCUAAUCCACAAGAUCCUCUGAAGCCUGGCAGGCCUAAACCUAACAACAGAAGAUUGAUGAUGUCCUCAGUGACCAUGGAAGACCCUGGGGAGUGACUGUUCAGGCGGCCAAGGAACUUACUCUACAGUGACUGCCCUCAGCCCUGCCUCCUGAGUGUUAAG